GCAACACAGCAAAACCUGAAUUGAACCCAGGUUUGAAAGCCAGGACUGCUCUGUUCCCAAUUCUGACACUAGAUCACAAUUUAACCUUCUGAGCAUGCUGCUUUGCCACGCUGGAAAGGCCUUGCCAAACAGGAGGCAGAGAGGGAAGCAUCAGUGUUGUUCCAGCAGCUUGAAAACAACUGGAGUGGCUGGAACUGCUCUGUGAUUUCAGUUGUGGCAGAUCAACAUCUUUAUAGAGAAAGAUGAUUUAUUGCCUCAAAACCAGAAGUACAGAAUAGGUGGGAGCAGCAACACUGCUCUCAUGACAUGCUUCAUCAACGUCUAGAAGGAUCAACCUGACAGAAGAACUCAAUGCCUUGUUGUACAUUGAGAGAUGGCAUGGUGGUUCCCAGCCACAUCUUGUGUGGAGGAAACACAAGCACCAGGAAGAGUGGAAAGACACCACCAGAAGGUCCUGAACAGCUCAUCCCAGAGCUUUCCAACAUAAACCUUCAGCCACUCUUGACUGGCAGCAGGUCCAAAGGAAUGACCUCAGAAGUGAAGGCUUCUACAUCACUUCAGCCACCCAGGAUCUCUUACAUUCUCACUCUCCUGAUUAUUUAUACUGUUGUAAAACCAGAAGCAUGGAAAUUGCUGUUCACUCCCUUUCACUUCCUUUCCCUGCAACCCUACAGAAAUAGCUGAGUUACAUAAGACAGAAACACCCACAAAAUAACAAUGAAAACAGAUGUGUCAAAAACCAGAAAAACAA